rnacentral:rRNA from 1 species
AUUGAACGCUGGCGGCAUGCCUUACACAUGCAAGUCGAACGGUAACGGGCCUUCGGGUGCCGACGAGUGGCGAACGGGUGAGUAAUGUAUCGGAACGUACCUUUCAGUGGGGGAUAACGUAGCGAAAGUUACGCUAAUACCGCAUAUUCUGUGAGCAGGAAAGCAGGGGACCGCAAGACCUUACGCUGAUUGAGCGGCCGAUAUCAGAUUAGCUAGUUGGGGAGGUAAAGGGUCACCAAGGCGACGAUCUGUAGCGGGUCUGAGAGGAGGAUCCGCCACGCUGGAACUGAGACACGGUCCAGACUCCUAGGGGAGGCAGCAGUGGGGAAUUUUGGACAAUGGGGGCAACCCUGAUCCAGCCAUGCCGCGUGAGUGAAGAAGGCCUUCGGGUUGUAAAGCUCUUUCGGCCGGGAAGAAAUCGUAUCAGCUAAUACCUGGUGCGGAUGACGGUACCGGCAUAAGAAGCACCGGCUAACUACGUGCCAGCAGCCGCGGUAAUAC